rnacentral:rRNA from 1 species
UACGAAGGGGGCUAGCGUUGUUCGGAAUUACUGGGCGUAAAGCGCGCGCAGGCGGUCCUUUAAGUCAGGGGUGAAAGCCCAGAGCUCAACUCUGGAACUGCCUUUGAAACUAGAGGACUUGGGUACGGGAGAGGUGAGUGGAAUUCCGAGUGUAGAGGUGAAAUUCGUAGAUAUUCGGAAGAACACCGGUGGCGAAGGCGGCUCACUGGCUCAUUUCUGACGCUCAGGCGCGACAGCGUGGGGAUCAAACAGG